AAUGCCGGAUGUUCCAGUUGAUCGCAUGGUCUUCUGGGAAAGCUUUCGCGGUAUGGGAUGGGGUCGCGUCCUAUCAGCUUGACGGCGGGGUAACGGCCCACCGUGGCUUCGACGGGUAGCCGGCCUGAGAGGGCGACCGGCCACAUUGGGACUGAGAUACGGCCCAGACUCCUACGGGAGGCAGCAGUGGGGAAUAUUGCACAAUGGGCGCAAGCCUGAUGCAGCGACGCCGCGUGAGGGAUGGAGGCCUUCGGGUUGUAAACCUCUUUUAUCGGGGAGCAAGCGAGAGUGAGUUUACCCGUUGAAUAAGCACCGGCUAACUACGUGCCAGCAGCCGCGGUAAUACGUAGGGUGCAAGCGUUAUCCGGAAUUAUUGGGCGUAAAGGGCUCGUAGGCGGUUCGUCGCGUCCGGUGUGAAAGUCCAUCGCUUAACGGUGGAUCCGCGCCGGGUACGGGCGGGCUUGAGUGCGGUAGGGGAGACUGGAAUUCCCGGUGUAACGGUGGAAUGUGUAGAUAUCGGGAAGAACACCAAUGGCGAAGGCAGGUCUCUGGGCCGUUACUGACGCUGAGGAGCGAAAGCGUGGGGAGCGAACAGGAUUAGAUACCCUGGUAGUCCACGCCGUAAACGGUGGAUGCUGGAUGUGGGGCCCGUUCCACGGGUUCCGUGUCGGAGCUAACGCGUUAAGCAUCCCGCCUGGGGAGUACGGCCGCAAGGCUAAAACUCAAAGAAAUUGACGGGGGCCCGCACAAGCGGCGGAGCAUGCGGAUUAAUUCGAUGCAACGCGAAGAACCUUACCUGGGCUUGACAUGUUCCCGACGGUCGUAGAGAUACGGCUUCCCUUCGGGGCGGGUUCACAGGUGGUGCAUGGUCGUCGUCAGCUCGUGUCGUGAGAUGUUGGGUUAAGUCCCGCAACGAGCGCAACCCUCGCCCCGUGUUGCCAGCGGAUUAUGCCGGGAACUCACGGGGGACCGCCGGGGUUAACUCGGAGGAAGGUGGGGAUGACGUCAGAUCAUCAUGCCCCUUACGUCCAGGGCUUCACGCAUGCUACAAUGGCCGGUACAACGGGAUGCGACGCGGCGACGCGGAGCGGAUCCCUGAAAACCGGUCUCAGUUCGGAUCGCAGUCUGCAACUCGACUGCGUGAAGGCGGAGUCGCUAGUAAUCGCGAAUCAGCAACGUCGCGGUGAAUGCGUUCCCGGGCCUUG
rnacentral:rRNA from 1 species